CCUGCGGAAGGAUCAUUUCUGAAGGCUUUUUGCCAAAACCACUGUGAACAGCUUAGACUUCGGUCUUUGCAAUUGCUUGGGUGUCGAAAGGCGCCCAAUCUUUAAAACUUUUAUAUUUGUUCUGAAACAAUGAAAAUUUAAAACUUUCAACAACGGAUCUCUUGGUUCUCGUAUCGAUGAAGAACGCAGCAAAGCGCGAUAGGUAAUGCGAAUUGCAGACGUGAGUCAUUGAAUUUUUGAACGCAUAUUGCGCUAUUAGUUUGUCUAAUAGCAUGCUUGUUGGAGUGAUAAUCUUCCUCUCAACCAUUUUUGGUAUGAGGUCUUGCUCCUUUUAGGAGUUAAAAUCAUGGAAGUGCACACGUUAAUUAACUCUGUGCAGUUAUACACUUUUCAUCCUCCAAUCAAGCAAGGUUACCCGCUGAACUUAAGCAUAUCAAUAAGGCGGAGGAA
rnacentral:rRNA from 1 species